rnacentral:rRNA from 1 species
UACGUAGGGUGCAAGCGUUGUCCGGAAUUAUUGGGCGUAAAGAGCUCGUAGGCGGUCUGUCGCGUCUGCUGUGAAAACUCGGGGCUUAACCCCGGGCCUGCAGUGGGUACGGGCAGACUAGAGUGCGGUAGGGGAGACUGGAAUUCCUGGUGUAGCGGUGAAAUGCGCAGAUAUCAGGAGGAACACCGGUGGCGAAGGCGGGUCUCUGGGCCGUUGCUGACACUGAGGCGCGACAGCGUGGGGAGCAAACAGG